CCUCAGACGCAGCAGGUCACGGGCUGGGGUCACGGGGCCCCCCAUUGGCCCUCCCGCUGCCCAAUCGCGCGGCUCCGGGGGUUUUCCCUCCUCGUGGCGCUGCGGAGCUGGGCCGGCCCUCUCCUCAUAUAAGGUAAAACAAAAGUCUUUGCUCCUCGAGCCGGCCGUGCUUCGACAGGGAGCCUGGAGCCGGGAACCCCCUCCAGAGCGUCCAGGACAGGCGCUCCAUCUGCAGUCAUGGGGACCAGGGUAGGGGACCCCCCCCCCCCCUCAUCAGCCGCCACCACCAGGCCAGCCGACAGGACCAGGACAGCGGCACACGUCCAGCAGCACACCUUCCUUCCCACUACUGGGAGGGGGCUACAGAGGAGUGACAGCCUCAUGGGAGCAGGACCAACUGGAGCAGUCGGCACGCCCCAGGCCAGAGGUGAGCAACAGCCUGCACACACACUCACACACACACACACACUCACACCUCCCCCAGAGCAAAGCAGAGAGGGGUGCUUCGACACAGACAGCUGGCCCACCUCAGACGAGAUAGGGAGCGCUUUUAACGGUAACAGGACAGAGCAGCCCUGAGCGUAGCUAUUAGUGUCUCAAACACACACACACACACACACACACACACACACACACAUACUGAGCCCUGAGCGUAGCCAUUAGUGUCUCAAACACACACACACACACACACACACACACACACACACACACACACACACACACACACACACACACACUGAGCCCUGAGCGUGGCCAUUAGUGUCUCAUUCGGAGCUGUCCAUUUCAGGUUCCUCCCUUCUGCCAGGUCACGAGGCGACUGAAAUGCGCUGAGUGUGUGUGUGUGUGUGUGUGUGUGUGUGUGUGUGUGUGUGUGUGAGGCGACUGAAAUACGCUGCUGCGGCAUCUGAAGAAAGCAGCGCAAGUAGGGGGUUCAUAAGUGCUUCACCAGGCCUGUCCAUUAACCUGCCAGAUAGGUUGCUGUUUUCUGUGUAUGUGUGUGUGUGUGUGUGUGUGUGUGUGUGUGUGUGUGUGUGUAUGUUUGUGUGUGUGUGUGUGUGACGUGGCUGAGGUCUCAGCUUCUCAGUCAGGUACUCCUCCUCCAGGCAGUUGCUGAACCGCCGCUGUCGUCUGUGAAUGCCAUUAGAAAGCUGUGGAAUGAAGUUUGACUAAGUGACCCCCAGCGCCAUGCUGCCCUCCCUGGAUUAAGCGUUGAUUAGCACCUAGGUCCACGCCUCAUUCAGCCAGUCUGAGACGCUAAGCUCGCUAGUAUAUUCUCAUGUUGUGUAUUAUUUUGUGGUUUCGAGACACUGCAGCGUUAUUCGCACUACGCAGGGUAGAGAGGGGAUAUUUUUCAGCAGAAGUGCCACUUAUGUGGAAUUAACUGACUGGAAAUGUGUUUAUAAUUUUCCCUAAGCCAUUAGAUCCAAAUCAUUUCCUGCCUGAGUUAGAUACCACAGGCAUGACUCUGAACAGUUUAUAGCUUUGAGUGACGCUCCGCUUUUCCGUGUGCUGUUAAGACUCUUUUCCUUGUGUUAUUAAGACUCUUUUUUAAAAUAACUUUGGCUAAAGUCACCAGCUA
ensembl:lncRNA